rnacentral:tRNA from 2 species
CGUUCGCAUAGCCGACCUGGACGCUCUUCUCCGCCUCGCCAUGGCGGAACAGCAGCGGCCGAUGAUAGGAGGCGUUCAGCCGCCAGCCGUCGC